AUGUUGAUACAAAUCAACAUGAUUAUAAUAUAUCAUUUUUUAGCUACAUUAAUCCCUUCAAGUCAUUAUAAAAAAAGAUUAGAAAGAUUAGAAUAUAAAUUGUCUAGAUACUAUUUUCGAGCAUUAAUAUAUGAAGGAUUACAUUUUCCUGCUAAAGGAUAUAAUUCCUUUCCUGAUCCAUACAUAAAAAUUGAGGUAGGUGGUCAUGUAAUAAAGACAAAUACAAUUUUACAAACAUUAAAUCCAAAUUAUUUUGAAGCAUAUGAAGAAGAAGUUAUUUUACCAACUAAUUUAAGUCUAGCACCAGAUAUAACAAUCGAAGCAUAUUCCGUUAAUAAAACUUUUUUAUAUAAUGAUGAUAUUUUAUUAGGUAGUUGUACUUAUCCAAUUAUAAAAGUUCCAAUAGAAUGGAAAAAAUCACCUAUAUGGGUAAAUCUGAAUUCUUCAAAAUAUGUAAAAUGUAAAGCAAAAUUAUUAAUAGCGUUUGAAUUAGUACCUUAUGAAAAAGUUAAAAAUGAUUCAUAUAUUUUUUAUGAUGAUAUAAGACCAUCUACAUUACCAGGACAUAUUUCUUUAUUUUUAGUUGGUAUUAGAAUGUUUAAACCUGUGAAAAAUCCAUCUGUAACUGUAUGUUUUGGACGUGAUGUUAAUGAUACUGCUCAAUUUUUAUGGUAUGAAAAUACAAAUAAAGUUAUAGCAGGUAAAGAAGGUAAUUUUAAUUUUUUAAAAUAUUUUUAUUUAGAUGCAGAAUUACCUAAAAGAAUGCAACAUCACAGCUUUUUAGAAGUUCGAAUUGAAGAUGGUGUAUCUUCCAACACUGAUAGUGGUGGUGGUGGUAGUGGUGGUGUUAGUUCUUACAAUAUUGUAGAAGGGGAAAAUAAAACAAAUAUAAAUAAUAACCAAAAUACAAUAACAGCAACUAAUAAUAAUUUUUUAAUCGGAACUGCUUAUAUAACUCUAAACCCAUUAUUACCAUGGCUAGAUGAUUAUGAAAAAACUCAAUGUAGAGAGUUAUUUAAGUUAAAUUUUUUAGAAGAAAUGUUAAUUGAAGAUGCAGAGGCAGAAAUGAAAAAUUAUAAUAGUUCUUUAAUAUAUAAAAAGAGUUCUAUGUUUUCAAAAAAAAUGAAUACACUUACUGAUAGUAAUGUUGAAGAUUGGGAAGAUUUUAUGUUGCAAGAUAUAGAAGUUGGAAUUAAUGAAAAUAAGAAUAAUGGUAUUUUAUUAGAACCCGUAUCUACACAUUUGUUAAAUAUGGUUGAUAGUAAAAAUGGUAAUAUAAUUGAUAAAAAUAAUAAUAUGUUUAAUCAACAACGUACUACAUUCCAUCAACAGAAUAGAAUACUAAAUCAACAAGAUAAUAAUAUAUUAGAUCAUUGGAGUAGUAACCCAAGUGAUAUAUAUGCUAGUACUAUGGAUUUACAGGGUAGUACUAUGGAUUUACAGGGUAGUAUUGCAGAUAUACAGAGUAGUACUAUGGAUAUACAGGGUAGUACUUCAGAUAUGCAGGGUAAUACUUCAGAUAUACAGGGUAACAUGAAUUAUCAAAAUAGUCCACACUACCAACUAAUAAAUCAGAACCAGAACAAAAAUAUGGACAAAAAUGAGGAAAAAAAUAUGGACAAAAAUGAAGAAAAAAAUAUGGAGAAAAACCAAAGCGAUGAUAUACAAUUAGCCAUAAAAGAAAAUAUAAAAAUAGGUAGUAAGGAAAAAAUGGUUAAGUCUAUAAAAAGUGAAAAAACUGGGAAAAAAAAAAUUUAUCGUAAUAAUGAUUAUGUACCAUAUAAUGAUCCAGAUUUUGCAAAUGUACGAAUAGAAGAAGCAUUAGAACAUAUCUGUUUUGAUACAAAAAAUAUAAACCAAAAUAAUUCAGACAAAAAUAAUUCAGACAAAAAUAAUUCAGACAAAAAUAAUUCAGAAGUUAUUGAUAAAAUAAAUCCAAAUAAUGAAAUAAAAACAGAUGAAAAUAAAAUAGAAUCAGAAAAAAAUAAUAGAAAUAAAAGUAUUUAUGGAUUUGAUGAAGAUGAAUUAAAUUUCCAAUUGUCUAUGGCAAAUGAUGAUGAACAAGAAGAAUUGCAAAGAGAUGAAAUGGUUUAUGAAUAUGAACUAGAUAUGGAUAUAAAUGAUUUGCCAUAUUUAAGAGCAACAAUAUUUAGAUGCACAGAUUCGGGUAUACCGGAAGCUGUAGGAUAUUUAAAAUAUAUUUGUAACGUAUAUGAUAAAAAAACUUUACAUAAAAAAAAAGAAAUGAUAAAAAAAUGUGAAAAUUUAGUAAAAGAAUAUAAAUUAACACGUAAUUUAGUAGUUAGAGCUUAUAUAAUACAAGCUAGAGGAUUAAAUCCACCAUCUGGUUCUACAGACAUUACAACUUAUGUUUGGAUAAAAAAUAGUGAUGAAAUAAUUAAUAUUCCUGGUGGUUUUUCACAUAAUAUAAAAGAUAUAAAUUAUACAAAAAAACAAGGAUAUAAACCUGAAUUUAAUAAAUGUUAUCAAUUGUUGUGUUCAUUCCCUGACGAAUCCAUUGUACAAGUAAGUAUAAUGAAUCAAGGAGCUUUAUCAGAUGAAAUUAUUGGUUAUACACAUAUAGAUAUGGAAGAUAGAUAUUUUAAUAAAAAAAUAAGAAGACUAAUGUUGGAUGAUUUAAUGCCUAUAGAAAUGAGAUCUUUAAAAUUAGAAAAUUCAACAAUAUCCCAUGGAUCUUUAAGAUGUUGGUUUGAAAUUUUUAAUAAAGAAUAUACACAACUUAAUCCAGUAAAAUUAAUUAAUGCAACAGAGUUUGAAGAAUUCGAAUUAAGAUUAGUUGUAUGGAGAGUAACACAAGUAGCAAUGGAUGAUAAUUCAACCGUUAGUUUAUUUGUUAGAUGUAUAUAUACUGAUGAAAAUAUAGAAGAUUUGAGAGAUACGGAUACACAUUAUAAUAGUAAAGAUGGGAAAGCAGUUUUUAACUGGCGAUUUGUUUAUAAUAUUAAAAUACCCACCAAUGCUACAACUAUAAAAGUACAAAUUCAUAAUUAUGCUUUGUUAACUGCGAAUGAGCCGAUUGGUGAAGCUACGUUUGAUUUAUCUUCUCACUUUUAUAAGGCGCGCAAGAAGAAGGCUUAUUACCAAAUACCUCGAUUUUGGCUCGCGUGCAAGCAUCCCGCACACAAACACAAAAUCCGUGGAAACGUAGAAAUGGAGGCAAGCAUUUUGCCAAAAGUAGAUGCAGACAUUGAACCGGUUGGUAAUGGAAGAGAUGAACCGAAUUUGAACCCAUUUUUGCCAGAAGUCACUGAAAACAGAACUUACGUUGAUUGGGUAAUGAUUAACGAAAAGGUGGGGGAAGCCACUGCAUCUAUCAUGUAUGGAUUAAAAUGGACAGGCGUAUGGAUCGUCGUGGCGGCAGUCGUUGGUGGAAUCCUCUUCCUUAUGAUUUUGUUAAAAUGAAGACUAUAAUUUUUUUUUUUUUUUUUUUUUUUUUUUUUUUCUAUUUUUCUGAGCUUACCGAUUUAUAAUACUAUUUAAAAUUCAUAAACAGAGUAGCACAUAUAUAUAUAUAUAUAUCUACUCAAUUUUUUGGUCCAAUCAGACCCACUUCAAUCCCUCACAUACAUACAUACAUACACACCCAAAUGUUUUAAGGAUAUAUAUAAAAAAAGGCAAGGUAGUCCCAGAAAUUAACGGGUCUACCUAUAAAUUUAUUAUAAUUUUUAAUAACACAUGUAUCUAAAUGUGAAAUAUUUUUAAUCAAUUUUAAGAAAUUUUUAUAUAUAUUAUUAUAUUGCGAAUUUUGUUUUUUUAAAGUGUAUAAGUAUACAGCAUGCUCACAUAACUUCGUUAAAUAUUUACCAAACUGUAUUGUAUACAACUUUCUUUUAAUCGUUAAUAUGUUUUUGUCAUCGUAAAAACAUACAUCCUUGCUUCUAUUAUAAUUUGUGUGGGUGUUAGU
ensembl:lncRNA